UAGCUCAGUGAUAGAGCAUGUGCUUAGAGUGCACCGGGUCCUGGGUUCAAUCCCCAG
rnacentral:tRNA from 1 species